UACGUAGGGGGCAAGCGUUGUCCGGAUUUAUUGGGCGUAAAGAGCGUGUAGGCGGCCAGACAGGUCCGUUGUGAAACUAGAGGCUUAACCUCUAGACGUCGAUGGAAACCGUCUGGCUAGAGUCCGGAAGAGGAGAAUGGAAUUCCUGGUGUAGCGGUGAAAUGCGCAGAUAUCAGGAAGAACACCCGUGGCGAAAGCGGCUCUCUGGAACGGUACUGACGCUGAGACGCGAAAGCGUGGGGAGCGAACAGG
rnacentral:rRNA from 1 species